rnacentral:rRNA from 1 species
AGUGAACGCUGGCGGCAGGCCUAACGCAUGCAAGUCGAACGGCAGCACAGGAGAGCUUGCUCUCUGGGUGGCGAGUGGCGGACGGGUGAGGAAUGCGUCGGAAUCUGCCUAUUUGUAGGGGAUAACGUAGGGAAACUUACGCUAAUACCGCAUACGACCUCUACGGGUGAAAGUGGGGGACCGCAAGGCCUCACGCAGAUAGAUGAGCCGACGCCGGAUUAGCUAGUUGGCGGGGUAAAGGCCCACCAAGGCGACGAUCCGUAGCUGGUCUGAGAGGAUGAUCAGCCACACUGGAACUGAGACACGGUCCAGACUCCUACGGGAGGCAGCAGUGGGGAAUAUUGGACAAUGGGCGCAAGCCUGAUCCAGCCAUGCCGCGUGUGUGAAGAAGGCCUUCGGGUUGUAAAGCACUUUUGUCCGGAAAGAAAAGCAUCCGGUUAAUAACCGGGUGUCAUGACGGUACCGGAAGAAUAAGCACCGGCUAACCUCGUGCCAGCCGCCGCCGUAAAAC